rnacentral:rRNA from 1 species
UGGGGAAUUUUGGACAAUGGGGGAAACCCUGAUCCAGCCAUCCCGCGUGUGCGAUGAAGGCCUUCGGGUUGUAAAGCACUUUUGGCAGGAAAGAAACGUCGCGGGUUAAUACCCCGCGAAACUGACGGUACCUGCAGAAUAAGCACCGGCUAACUACGUGCCAGCAGCCGCGGUAAUACGUAGGGUGCAAGCGUUAAUCGGAAUUACUGGGCGUAAAGCGUGCGCAGGCGGUUCGGAAAGAAAGAUGUGAAAUCCCAGAGCUUAACUUUGGAACUGCAUUUUUAACUACCGGGCUAGAGUGUGUCAGAGGGAGGUGGAAUUCCGCGUGUAGCAGUGAAAUGCGUAGAUAUGCGGAGGAACACCGAUGGCGAAGGCAGCCUCCUGGGAUAACACUGACGCCCAUGCACGAAAGCGUGGGGAGCAAACAGGAUUAGAUACCCUGGUAGUCCACGCCCUAAACGAUGUCAACUAGCUGUUGGGGGCCUUCGGGCCUUGGUAGCGCAGCUAACGCGUGAAGUUGACCGCCUGGGGAGUACGGUCGCAAGGUUAAAACUCAAAUGAAUUGACGGGGUCAUAGCUGUUUCCU